rnacentral:rRNA from 2 species
GGCGUCGACCGGCGCACGGGUGAGUAACGCGUAUCCAACCUGCCUCUGACUGAGGGAUAACCCGUCGAAAGUCGGCCUAAUACCUCAUGGCAUCGUCUGCGGGCAUCCAACGACGAUUAAAGAUUUCAUCGGUCAGGGAUGGGGAUGCGUCUGAUUAGCUUGUUGGCGGGGUAACGGCCCACCAAGGCUACGAUCAGUAGGGGUUCUGAGAGGAAGGUCCCCCACAUUGGAACUGAGACACGGUCCAAACUCCUACGGGAGGCAGCAGUGAGGAAUAUUGGUCAAUGGGCGGGAGCCUGAACCAGCCAAGUAGCGUGCAGGAUGACGGCCCUAUGGGUUGUAAACUGCUUUUAUGCGGGGAUAAAGUGAGGGACGUGUCCUUCAUUGCAGGUACCGCAUGAAUAAGGACCGGCUAAUUCCGUGCCAGCAGCCGCGGUAAUACGGAAGGUCCGGGCGUUAUCCGGAUUUAUUGGGUUUAAAGGGAGCGUAGGCCGUGGAUUAAGCGUGUUGUGAAAUGCAGGUGCUCAACGUCUGCACUGCAGCGCGAACUGGUCCACUUGAGUGUGCGCAACGCAGGCGGAAUUCGUCGUGUAGCGGUGAAAUGCUUAGAUAUGACGAAGAACUCCGAUUGCGAAGGCAGCUUGCGGGAGCACAACUGACGCUGAAGCUCGAAAGUGCGGGUAUCGAACAGGAUUAGAUACCCUGGUAGUCCGCACG